rnacentral:rRNA from 1 species
UGGGGGAUAUUGCACAAUGGAGGAAACUCUGAUGCAGCAACGCCGCGUGAGGGAAGAAGGUCUUCGGAUUGUAAACCUUUGUUUUUGGUGACGAACAAAUGACGGUAGCCAAAGAGGAAGCCACGGCUAACUACGUGCCAGCAGCCGCGGUAAUACGGAGGUGGCAAGCGUUGUCCGGAUUUACUGGGUGUAAAGGGAGCGCAGGCGGGACAGCAAGUUUGAUGUGAAAUACCGGAGCUUAACUCCGGAGCUGCAUCCAAAACUGUUGUUCUUGAGUGAAGUAGAGGUUGGCGGAAUUCCGAGUGUAGCGGUGAAAUGCGUAGAUAUUCGGAGGAACACCAGUGGCGAAGGCGGCCAACUGGGCUUUAACUGACGCUGAGGCUCGAAAGCAUGGGGAGCAAACA